GAUGAACGCUGGCGGCGUGCCUAAUACAUGCAAGUCGAGCGAAUGGACUAAGAGCUUGCUCUUAUGAAGUUAGCGGCGGACGGGUGAGUAACACGUGGGUAACCUGCCCAUAAGACUGGGAUAACUCCGGGAAACCGGGGCUAAUACCGGAUAACAUUUUGAACCGCAUGGUUCGAAAUUGAAAGGCGGCUUCGGCUGUCACUUAUGGAUGGACUCGCGUCGCAUUAGCUAGUUGGUGAGGUAACGGCUCACCAAGGCAACGAUGCGUAGCCGACCUGAGAUGGUGAUCGGCCACACUGGGACUGAGACACGGCCCAGACUCCUACGGGAGGCAGCAGUAGGGAAUCUUCCGCAAUGGACGAAAGUCUGACGGAGCAACGCCGCGUGAGUGAUGAAGGCUUUCGGGUCGUAAAACUCUGUUGUUAGGGAAGAACAAGUGCUAGUUGAAUAAGCUGGCACCUUGACGGUACCUAACCAGAAAGCCACGGCUAACUACGUGCCAGCAGCCGCCGUAA
rnacentral:rRNA from 1 species